rnacentral:rRNA from 1 species
GACGUAGUACAGCUACGUACGUCUGAGCAUCGAUCGAUGUACAGCUACGGUACGUCUGAGCAUCGAUCGAUGUACAGCUACGUACGUCGAGCUCGAUCGAUGUACAGCUACGUACGUCUGAGCAUCGAUCGAGUACAGCUACGUACGUCGAGCAUCGAUCGAUGACAGCUACGACGUCUGAGCAUCGAUCGAUGUACAGGCACGUACGCUGAGCAUCGAUCGGAUGACAG